rnacentral:rRNA from 1 species
UACGUAGGGUGCAAGCGUUAAUCGGAAUUACUGGGCGUAAAGCGUGCGCAGGCGGCUUUGCAAGACAGAUGUGAAAGUCCUGGGCUUAACCUGGGGACUGCAUUUGAUACUGGGUUGCUUGAAUUCGGGAGAGGAUAGCGGAAUUCCCAGUGUAGAGGUGAAAUUCGUAGAUAUUGGGAAGAACACCGGUGGCGAAGGCGGCUAUCUGGACCGACAUUGACGCUGAGGCGCGAAAGCGUGGGGAGCAAACAGG